AGAGAGAAAGAGAAGGAACCAGGGAUAAACAAACAUUGCUCAUAUGAUGGGUGAUGCUGUGUACAAAGUCCAAAGCGUGGCAUCACAGGACAGUGGAGUCAUUUCAGUUGGACAUCAACAGCCAGUGGCCCUGCUGCAGGAGAUCAAGCACCAAGAGAAAUUAGUAAGGAGAGUCCAG